UACAUAGGGGGCAAGCGUUAUCCGGAAUUACUGGGCGUAAAGCGUGUGUAGGCGGCCCAUUAAGUCUGGCGUGAAAUCCCACAGCUUAACUGUGGAGGGUCGUUGGAAACUGAUGGGCUUGAGUACGGUAGAGGUAAGUGGAAUUCCAAGUGGAGCGGUGGAAUGCGUAGAUAUUUGGAGGAACACCAGUGGCGAAGGCGGCUUACUGGGCCGGAACUGACGCUGAGACACGAAAGCGUGGGGAGCAAACAGG
rnacentral:rRNA from 1 species